rnacentral:rRNA from 1 species
AACGCUGGCGGCGCGCUUAACACAUGCAAGUCGAGCGAGAACCGGAGCUUCGGCUCCGGGGACAGCGGCGAACGGGUGAGUAACACGUGGGUAAUCUGCCCUCGGUUCUGGGAUAGCCCGGGGAAACUCGGAUUAAUACCGGAUAGCCUCUCUGGCCUUCGGGUCGGCGAGAAAAGGUAGCUUCGGCCUCCGACUGAAGAUGAGCCCGCGGCGGAUUAGCUUGUUGGCGGGGUAACGGCCCACCAAGGCGACGAUCCGUAGCUGGUCUGAGAGGACGAUCAGCCGCACUGGGACUGAGACACGGCCCAGACUCCUACGGGAGGCAGCAGUGGGGAAGCUUGCGCAAUGGGCGAAAGCCUGACGCAGCGACGCCGCGUGAGGGAAGAAGGCCUUCGGGUUGUAAACCUCUUUCAGGUGGGACGAAGCCACUCGGGUGAAUAGCCCAGAGGGUGACGGUACCUCCAGAAGAAGCCCCGGCUAACUACGUGCCAGCCGCCGCAGUAACAC